rnacentral:SRP_RNA from 1 species
AAUUGGGCUAGACCGGAGGGUUAGGGGUCCUUUGUAAGCGCAUAUCCCCUAUACGGCGCGGUCGAAGUUCAAGAGGCGGCAAAUUGACUGGGUAUUGGCCCAGGAUCACGAUGUCGAAACCUCGUCCCGCAGGAUUGGUGGUGGUAGGGUUCUGGUUGUAGGACCAGAAUAAACUGCCUUAAUCAUGGGAAACGGGUCAGGUCUGGAAAGAAGCAGCCCUACCAUGGACAGCUGAUGCUUGUGGAGCAACGGGGUGGAGUUGGGUUUCUGGAUCACCAGUGCUUGGGAGGUUUGUCCACUCUUGAACGUGCCCAUUU